rnacentral:rRNA from 1 species
UAGGGAAUCUUCGUCAAUGGGGGGAACCCUGAACGAGCAAUGCCGCGUGUGUGAAGAAGGUCUUCGGAUCGUAAAGCACUGUUGUAAGUGAAGAAUGCCAUAUAGAGGAAAUGCUAUGUGGGUGACGGUAGCUUACCAGAAAGCCACGGCUAACUACGUGCCAGCAGCCGCGGUAAUACGUAGGUGGCAAGCGUUAUCCGGAAUCAUUGGGCGUAAAGGGUGCGUAGGUGGCACGAUAAGUCUGAAGUAAAAGGCAACAGCUCAACUGUUGUAUGCUUUGGAAACUGUCGAGCUAGAGUGCAGAAGAGGGCGAUGGAAUUCCAUGUGUAGCGGUAAAAUGCGUAGAUAUAUGGAGGAACACCAGUGGCGAAGGCGGUCGCCUGGUCUGUAACUGACACUGAUGCACGAAAGCGUGGGGAGCAAAUAGAUUAGAUACC